rnacentral:rRNA from 1 species
GACAGAGGGUGCAACCGUUGUCCGGAUUUAUUGGGCGUAAAGAGCUCGUAGGCGGUUUGGUAAGUUGGAUGUGAAAUCUCCAGGCUCAACUUGGAGGGGUCAUUCGAUACUGCCAUGACUAGAGUUCGGUAGGGGAGUGUGGAAUUCCUGGUGGAGCGGUGAAAUGCGCAGAUAUCAGGAGGAACACCCGUAGCGAAGGCGGCACUCUGGGCCGGAACUGACGCUGAGGAGCGAAAGCGUGGGGAGCGAACAGG